UGGUGGAGUGAUUUGUCGGGUUAAUUCCGAUAACGAACGAGACUCUGGCCUAUUAAAUAGUUCGCCGAUUCCGAUCUGUCGGCGUUAACUUCUUAGAGGGACAAGUGGCUUUUAGCCACGCGAGAUUGAGCAAUAACA
rnacentral:rRNA from 1 species